UAAUAAAAGAAUUAUUAAUUUUGUUUGUUUAUUUAUUUUAUUAAAAGCAAUUUUAUUAAUAUAAAUUUUAGUAUGUUAUACAGAAAAGAAAAAUAUAAUAAUAGUGAAUUAGUAUUGUAAAAGAAUGUUAUGUGGUUAAUUUAUUUUUGUAAAAGAAGAAUUUAUUUUUUGUACCUUGUGUAUCAGGGUUGAUUAAUUAAGAUUUAUAUAGUUAAAUUUCUCGAAUUGGAAGGAGCUAUUUAUUAAUAAUUUUUAUCGUGAUAAUGAUAUAUUUAAUUAAUAAAUUGAAGUUAAAAGUUAUUCGGCUUUCAAAAUAUCUAGUUCACUUAGAAAUAAAUUUAAUUUAGGCUUUAAGGUUAUUAUAAAUUGAUUUAUUAAUAUAAAUAUUUUAAAGCUAAUAGUAAUAGGGAUAAGCUUGUUAUUAAAAAUCUAUAAUUUAGUAUUUGUGAAUGAAUUUGUAAGUUUAGAAAUAUCUAUCAAUUUAGUUUGUUAUAAUUAAUUUAUUAUUUAGGAAUAUUUUAUAAUUAUUUAGGUUUAUAUAAGUGUUUAUUUAUAAAUAAUUAAUAUUUAGUAAUAAUGAUUAAAUUAGUAUAUUAUUAUAUAUGAAUAAUUUUUUAUAAAAGAUUAUUUAGAGGAAUUCGGCAAAAAUUUUAUUCGCCUGUUUAACAAAAACAUGUCCUUUUGAAUUUAUUAAAGGUCUAACCUGCCCAAUGAAGUUUAAAUGGCCGCAGUAUUUUGACUGUGCAAAGGUAGCAUAAUCAUUAGUUUUUUAAUUAAAAGCUUGUAUGAAGGGUUGGACGAGAUAAAAUCUGUCUUUAUUUAAUUUUAAUUAGAAUUUAACUUUUAAGUUAAAAGGCUUAAAUGUUUAUAAAAGACGAGAAGACCCUAUAGAUCUUUAUUUAGUUAAUAUUUUAAUAAUUUAGGGUUUAGUUAAUUUGAAGUUUUAAUUAAAUUUUAUUGGGGUAAUAUAAAGAUUAAUAUAAUUCUUUUUAUUAAAGCCAUUGAUUUAUGAAUAGAUGAUCCAUUAUUAUUGAUUAUAAGAUUAAGUUACCUUAGGGAUAACAGCGUAAUUUUUUUGGAGAGCUCUUAUCGAUAAGAAAGUUUGCGACCUCGAUGUUGGAUUAAAAAUUAUCUUGGGUGUAGAAGUUCAAGAUUUUGGUCUGUUCGACCAUUAAAUUUUUACAUGAUCUGAGUUCAGACCGGCGUGAGCCAGGUCGGUUUCUAUCUUUAUUUAAUUUAUAUAUUUUAGUACGAAAGGACCAUAUAUGUAAUAUAAUUAUAUUUUAUUAUUGAGUAUCAAU
rnacentral:rRNA from 1 species